CAACUUCCACCUGGCAUACCUCUUCAGUUAUGCUUCAAGGGUUGUAUACCUUUGAGCGUAUUUUGGGUUUCUUGUUUUAAAUUCCAAUUUCAUGGUAUUGUUUUGGAAGAUCGAAGUCCCUUUUCAUUUUGUAUCUCCUUUGUGAUUCAAGAUGAACUAUGAAGUGGUCUCUAUAUUCCAUAAUGUUGAUGCUAAUGUAUUGAUGUUGUGGCGUGUUGAGCUUAUGCUUGGUAUCUUGGAUACGAAACAUAAUGUGGGCUGGGUCUUUACUGGCUUUUGUUUUGCUCUCGUUAAUAUUCUUCGAAUCGACAGUUCAUGCGCGCCUAGGCUCGUACCUGCGUGAUGAACUUUGUCAAAGAGGAAUGUUACCUGGUUGAUCCUGCCAGUAGUCAUAUGCUUGUCUCA
rnacentral:misc_RNA from 1 species